AACGAACGCUGGCGGCAUGCCUAACACAUGCAAGUCGAACGAGACCUUCGGGUCUAGUGGCGCACGGGUGCGUAACGCGUGGGAACCUGCCCUUAGGUUCGGAAUAACUCCCCGAAAGGGGUGCUAAUACCGGAUAAUGUCUUCGGACCAAAGAUUUAUCGCCUUUGGAUGGGCCCGCGUUGGAUUAGCUAGUUGGUAGGGUAAAAGCCUACCAAGGCGACGAUCCAUAGCUGGUCUGAGAGGAUGAUCAGCCACACUGGGACUGAGACACGGCCCAGACUCAUACGGGAGGCAGCAGUGGGGAAUAUUGGACAAUGGGCGAAAGCCUGAUCCAGCAAUGCCGCGUGAGUGAUGAAGGCCUUAGGGUUGUAAAGCUCUUUUACCCGGGAUGAUAAUGAGAGUACCGGGAGAAUAAGCUCCGGCUAACUCCGUG
rnacentral:rRNA from 1 species